UGAGAUGGAUGAGUCCAAAGAAGGCUCUAUUCAGGGACUGGAAGAAAUGCAGGUUGAAAGAGAGGGCUCCUUAAACCCAUCCCUGAAUGAGGAGAAUGUGAAGAGUCAAGGAGAAAAGAAGGAGGAGUCAGAGGAGGAAGAUGAGAAGGAGGAAGAGGAGGAGGAGGAGAAGCUGGAGGAAGAGAAGGAGGAGAAGGAGGCACAGGAAGAGCAAGAGAGUUUAUCUGUGGGUGAGCCGAGCUUUUGCUUCAUCAAGAGCGGUUGGACAGCCAUUGUGCUGGGGUGAUCGAGACGCUGAAGAAGAAGCGGCUGAUGUUCUGCCAGUUCCAAGAAGAGCAAAACGUGAGGAGCAAAAACUUCCGCCUUAAGAUCUAUGACAUGGAACACAUCUUCUUGAAUGCCACCAGGAGCCAAAAGCUGGUCACUCUCAGCAACACACUGCACCAGGAGUUGCUUAGCUAUGUUGAUGUCACCCAGGUGUCCCUGCGCAGCUUCCGGCAGUACUUGGAGGAGAGUCUGGGCAAACUCCGUUACUCAAAUAUUGAGUUCAUCAGACACUGCA
rnacentral:sRNA from 1 species